CACUCACUUCCCACCCCCACAAACCAACCACUAUCCUGGUUCAGGGUCCCCAUCUUUCCUCUGGAACCACUGCACCAGCUGCCUCACUAACUUCAACUGUCCCAUUAUCCAGAGAUUGCAUCAUUCUCUACUCAAGACCCUUCCACGGCGCCCAGUGCAGACUGACAGCAGCUUGGCACCUGAGGCCCUCUGGGAUCUGGUGCCCACGUGUGCUGGCAGCCUCAUCACCUGCCGACCACCACCAAUAACGUCUGUGCCAUCUAACCUUGUUUCUAUACGUCCUCAAUUUCCUGCCUCAGGGAUAGCUGGGGUCUAGCCUCAGCUCUGUCUCUGACUCAGUGUGACCUUAGGCAAGCGCUUGGCCUCUCUGAGCCUCAGUCUCAUGAGGCAAUUGGGGGCUCUUGUGCAGAUGAGACAAGAUAAGAGACUGUCGGGGGCCAGGAAGCGCCAGCCUGCUUACCACUGCCUCCUCUCUGCACCUCCACCCCCGCAGCAGUGCUGAUUCUCUCCCCUAAGCUUUCUCUCCUCCAUGCACUGGAAUGCAGCGGCUGGCAGCCAGCAGGGGCAGCCAGGGAGGGGAGCGGGAGGGAGGAUGGCUUACAGGAAAAUUACCCGGGCUCAGGACAGCCAAUGCUGGCGCUUACAGCUGCCUCUAAAAGACUGGAGCUGGGGGCCUAGCAGGCUCUUCCUGAGCCAUGCACUUGGCCCCAGGCCUUGACCCCUGUCUGAGCUGGUGGGGGACUGGCGGGUACUCUGGGCCCCACUCCUCUGGGACAUGCCCACUCUUUGGCACCCACAGAAACGGAGAAGGAGGCAAAACACAGACUGGCCUUUGUGAGAAGAGAAAAUCGGCUCCUGCUGCUGCAUGCUGGGGCCCCAGGCACUGACAUGAAAAGGGUCCUCUGGGCCCCUCUGCUGAAUCUUUAUACCCUGGGUACCAUGUCCCUACGUCAUAUACUUUGUACCAGCAUCACAUAUGCCACGCCCUGUGUUCCUCACACCUUGUGCAGUGUGUGUACACUGAUGCACGUUCCACGUUGCGGCCCAUGGACACCUUACACCUGGAUCGUGCUCCGUGCACCACGUCAUAUCUGUUGCAUGAUGCACUCUGUACUACAUACCAUCUUUUGAAUCCCAUACCCACUGUGUCAGGUCCUAUCCCUUGAAAGUGUGUGCCAUCAACCUUGUCCUGGGCCCAUGAAGUGUCCCUCAUGCCUUGAUGGCCAUCUGUAUCGUAAUGGUUAAGGAGGGCAGGCUACGGGACAGACUCCCAACCCUACCCACCGUUACCAAGGAAAAGUUACCUCCCUUUUCAAUGCCUCAGUUUCUCCAGCUAUACAACAGAAAUGGUAUUAACACUCACCUAAUAAGAGUUGUUGUGGGAACUAAAAGAGAUAAUGCAUUUAAGGCUCUUAGCCCGGUGCCUGGCACAGAGUGAGUCUGCAAAUGUUGGCUGGUAUUGUUAAAACUGUGCCCAGGUAUCUGUACUAUGUCCCGUGUACUGCAUGCCAGGCUCCCAAUUCCCCAGCUCCUACUAUGCAUCAGACAUUCUAUCACAUUUGUGAAAUUCAAACAAUGAGCUAUAAGAAGGCUAUGACUAUCCCCUCUUCCAGAGGAGAAAUCCCAGGCACAGAGAGGGCCAACAAGUGCAUGAACUCGCACAGCCAGGAUGGAUGAAGCUGGGAGGUGCCCACAGCCUGGGCAUCCAGAGACACAGUAGAGUUGUGGUGGGCUACGGGGUGGGUGUGGAGAUUGCCAGCCAGCAGGCACAGGCAUCUUUUAGGGGUGAUGAAAAUGUUCUCAAACUAGAUUGUGGAAAUGACGGCAUAACUCUGCAAAUUUAUUAAAAGUCACUGAAUUAAGUAAACCAGGUGAAUUAUAUGUCUGUAAAUAAGCUGUAAAUUUACUUCGACAACUUAUGUAAAUUGUAUUUCAAUAAGGCUGGUUUAAACAAAAGAAAAAUAAAAGCCCCUGAACUUCCCAUGCACCACGCUGCCCAAGCAUUCAGCAAGAGGAGUGACUCCCUGGGAGUCAGUGGACACCAUCAGCACAGGCUGAGCAGCCGCCCUGAGGCCCAGCCGGGAGGAGCCUUGAGUGGCAUGGUUCCCAAACACCUCUGCAGACCAGGUGCAUAACAACAGAAUCACCUGGGGGGGCUCCAGAAAACGUGGAUUCCCAGGCCCCACGCCCAGCCUCUGAGUCUGUAGGUUGGGGUGGGGCCCGGGAACCUGGGAUUCUGAGGCUCAGCCUGGACUGGAAACCACUUAUCAAAGCCCAACAUCUCCUUUCACUUUUGGGGAAACUGAGGCCAAGCAGGACAGGCGAUGUGUGAGGUCUAGUUGAUCAAGCAGUGGAAAAGCCAGGGCUGGCACUGGGACCCCUCCUUGUCCCUUCUCUCCAUUCCCUCCUUGGCCAUCAGCCUCCGGGUGACUCAGGGCUCUGAGUCAUUCUGUAGCGCCACAGAGGAAACUUCUUGGAAAAACAAAACAAUCCCCAAACAAAGCUGCUCUGAUCUGUGGAACAGAAUAGGCCCAGGGCGCUAAGAGUGAGGGAAGAGAACACAGGGUGGAGUUGGAGGCCAGGACCAAGACUUAGUCUCCCUUCUUGGCCACUGACUUGUGAGGGCCCUAGAGAAAGCACCUCUCUGUACUGAGCCUGUUUUGCCACCUGUAAAUAACACCAGUAUUAUCCACAGAAGCUCAUAUGGACCAGGUGACGUCCUGCCUCAGGACUUCCUGGCCCAGUGGGUGAUACACGUAAAUUCAGGUAAUCACUUAAGUGGCUCUGGGCAGAGGGAGCGCAAAGCAGGGAGCACCCAGGACCUGACAAGCCACAAAGGAGGAGCAUUUGAGCAGAGCCUUGAAGAAUGAAUGGAGACUGAGCUCCACCAGACUGCUCUGCCUCAGAAGCUGCGGCCGUGGCACAUGACCUGGCGAACAGCAGACCAGCAGGGGUAUGCUAGAUGACUGAAUGAAGGGCCGGCCUACCUUGGCCAAGAUUGUGCAGCCCCGUCUUCCAGCCCCCACCCACCCCCAAC